GUAUGUACGUACAUAUACCGGUGCGGCCCCGUAGGUCCCACAGUCCACUUCCAGCCACAAUCAUGAGGGUCUUUCUGCUCGUCUUCGUCGUUAUGAUGCUAUUCGCUGCUGCGUUCGGUGACGGUGAAGCCGAGCUCGCAGGUCCCGAUAAUAUCCAAGAUCCUGCCGCCCCCGCUGGAACCUCGGCCUCAGACUCACCUGGUGAGGCCUCAGACUCUGCUGUUAAAACCUCAGACACAGCUGCUGGUGACGCCGGUGCCGCCACUGACCCCACUCUCGCCGAGUCUGACGCUGACCCUGCCAAGCCUAGUAGCGGUUUAUACUCCGAUAAGAUAAAUGAGCGAGUUGAAGCUGAGAAAUACAGUCAGACGGGCUAACAUCUGCCACAGUCUCCGCCGCCCCGGUUGAUGCAUCGACGUGGAAUCUAACCCUCAAACCACUUCCUCCACCCUUUGCAUAAAUAAAAGAGGUUUUUGUCAUUAGUAAGAAUAAGCAACAUAAUUGUCUUCUUUUAUAAAAAUAUUAAAUUUGUGUUGCAAUAUAACUACUACCUA